ACAGGGUUUGAAGCCGAAAGGCGGACCUCCCUACCGUGUAUAAACUACCUUUGUUGCUUUGGCGGGGCGUCUCGCGACCAGCGGCUCCGGCUGCUGCGCCCCCGCCAGAGGACCACAACUCUUGUUUUUAGUGAUGUCUGAGUACUAUCUAAUAGUUA
rnacentral:misc_RNA from 1 species